UACGUAGGCAGCAAGCGUUGUUCGGAGUUACUGGGCGUAAAGGGUGCGUAGGCGGUUGUUAAGUUUGGUGUGAAAUCUCCCGGCUCAACUGGGAGGUGCGCCGAAUACUGAAUGGACUAGAGUGCGGGAGAGGAUAGUGGAAUUCCUGGUGUAGCGGUGAAAAUGCGUAGAUAUCAGGAGGAACACCGGUGGUGUAGACGGCUAUCUGGACCGUAACUGACGCUGAGGCACGAAAGCGUGGGGUAGCAAACAGG
rnacentral:rRNA from 1 species